rnacentral:rRNA from 1 species
UUAAAGAAGACUGGUAUGAACGGCAUCACGAAGACCUUACUGUCUCCUAUAUCCAAUCAGUGAAACUGAUCUCCCCGUGAAGAAGCGGGGAUUUCACCAUAAGACGAGAAGACCCCAUGGAGCUUUAAACUUAAAUCACUUGCUUCAAUCACUAAUCCACGGGAUAAACACUUAACCAAGCAACGAUGAUCUAUGUUUUCGGUUGGGGCGACCACGGAGAAUAAUAAAUCCUCCUCGAUGAAUGAAACAAUUUAAACCAAGAGCUACAGCUCUAAGUAUUAGAAUAUCUAACAUACAUUGAUCCAAUCCUAUUGAUCAACGAACCAAGUUACCCUGGGGAUAACAGCGCAAUCCAUUUCAAGAGUCCAUAUCGACAAAUGGGUUUACGACCUCGAUGUUGGAUCAGGGCAUCCCAGUGGUGCAGCCGCUACUAAAGGUUCGUUUGUU